AGUGAACGCUGGCGGUAGGCCUAACACAUGCAAGUCGAACGGCAGCACAGUAAGAGCUUGCUCUUACGGGUGGCGAGUGGCGGACGGGUGGGGAAUACAUCGGAAUCUACUUUUUCGUGGGGGAUAACGUAGGGAAACUUACGCUAAUACCGCAUACGACCUACGGGUGAAAGCAGGGGAUCUUCGGACCUUGCGCGAUUGAAUGAGCCGAUGUCGGAUUAGCUAGUUGGCGGGGUAAAGGCCCACCAAGGCGACGAUCCGUAGCUGGUCUGAGAGGAUGAUCAGCCACACUGGAACUGAGACACGGUCCAGACUCCUACGGGAGGCAGCAGUGGGGAAUAUUGGACAAUGGGCGCAAGCCUGAUCCAGCCAUACCGCGUGGGUGAAGAAGGCCUUCGGGUUAUAAAGCCCUUUUGUUGGGAAAGAAAAGCAGCAGGUUAAUACCCCGCUGUUCUGACGGUACCCAAAGAAUAAGCACCGGCUAACUUCGUG
rnacentral:rRNA from 1 species